UACUCCUAUAAUUGAUAUCACGUUUUCAAAUUAUAGCAACAUAAAUCGUAUUUCGUUUUCGUUAACGAGCAAAUUGAUAAAAAAUGUAAUCUUGCGUUGUCAUAGGGAAGCAAAAUUCGACUAAAGAAGCUUAUCUUUCACUAAACUUUUCAUGAGCUUUAUGGAUUUACGAGUACACAAUUGCUUUGAGCGUUUAACCUUUUGAUAAGUAGUCGACACGGCUCCACGCGCAGUUCACCAUAUCAUAAUCACAAACCCUUUUUCAAGUGCAAAUUUUUUUUAUAGUUUUGCUUAGUUUAUCAGCUUCAAUCCAUUGACCGAUACGAGUAACGUAGUGAGUACCAAAAGUUAUCGCAGUCAACACCCAUUUCAUUCUCUGUAACAAUGCGUUUAAUAAACGGAUCAUUCGCGUUAUAUUGGCCGCUACCUAACUUCCUUUCUGAAAUUCAUUGUGUGGGGUCAUUUUUGAAUGUGCAUAUUUUACGUCAACUUUCAAUGCAUUUAUACAAGUUUUAAAACGUCGAAACCAACACCACACUAGUUCAUCACCCCCAGCAUCAUCCCCAAACAAUUUGCACAACAUGGUGCUUUCACUACUUUCAACUGAUUUUUGCACUUGUAAAACAAAUUUAUAUAUAUUUAUUUAUAUAAUAGAGCUUGAGUAUACCACUUUCAAA